rnacentral:lncRNA from 1 species
GGGCUCGGCCCUAGCAGGAGCCGGAGGGCUGGCUGCAGUUCUCCUGUAACCGCGCUGUGGUCUAGAAAAGAGCCUAAAGCGCUCUGCUGGUUGCUGCUGCUUUUGCUCUUCUAUCCUUCAGUAUGUUUUCUUCUUGAGCAUCCCGCCCCUGUGCUCCAGCUCUGUGUGAGAAGCUUCUGUCCACGGCGGCUGGAAGGCAAUCUAGAUAACCCAUGGAGAUUCAGUCCAUGGAGACAAGUACGUACAGGCUGCUGUACAUCAAGUAAGCUGGCUGCCUUGCAUUUCAAGCUGACACCCGGCAGGACAGGCCCUAUGUUUGCACUUUUCUGCCUAAUCCUCUUUGUACUCCAGAACCUUUCAAGAAGAGCAUGCUCCCCACUGAAGUUUCAGGUAGCUAUUUAUCUUCCAGUGGUUUGGACCAGUCGAUAUUUGGUUAACUAAUGCUACUUUAAAUAAUAUAUAAAGUGCAUUAGCAAGCAAUGAUCCAUUUAUUACCCGUCAAUAUUUUGUCCAGCCAAAUACUGCAUUCCAAUCCAAUGCAUUGAAAAUAAUAAAAUAGGGAAAAGGUGUUUUUUUUUU